AAACGGCAUGAAAUAAACAGACACAGAAGGCAAAAUAUGUUGAAUUCAUCAACUCUAAACAAAAAAUGGUAGGUUCAUUCAACAGAAAUUAAGCUGUCCUUCCAUCUCAGUGUAUGAAAAGUUGAAAGCCGAAUUCUCCGAUCUGCAAAUCAAAUACAAUGACCUUUUAGCAGCACACCACAAAACCUGCAAAGAGUUAGAAGAAAUGAAAAGCUCGCAUGCCUUGGCAACGGCAUCUACGAAGGAAACAACUGAUAGUGAAUCUCCUAAAGAUGGGCUCUAAAGCUUCUGCAUUGAAACUUGCAAUUCUUGGAGGUCCAUACAGGUGUAUUUAACCUGGUUUGCAAUUUUUCCAAUG